rnacentral:rRNA from 1 species
UUAAGCGACUAAGCGUACACGGUGGAUGCCCUGGCAGUCAGAGGCGAUGAAGGACGUGCUAAUCUGCGAUAAGCGUCGGUAAGGUGAUAUGAACCGUUAUAACCGGCGAUUUCCGAAUGGGGAAACCCAGUGUGAUUCGUCACACUAUCAUUAACUGAAUCCAUAGGUUAAUGAGGCGAACCGGGGGAACUGAAACAUCUAAGUACCCCGAGGAAAAGAAAUCAACCGAGAUUCCCCCAGUAGCGGCGAGCGAACGGGGAGGAGCCCAGAGCCUGAAUCAGUGUGUGUGUUAGUGGAAGCGUCUGGAAAGGCGCGCGAUACAGGGUGACAGCCCCGUACACAAAAAUGCACAUGCUGUGAGCUCGAUGAGUAGGGCGGGACACGUGGUAUCCUGUCUGAAUAUGGGGGGACCAUCCUCCAAGGCUAAAUACUCCUGACUGACCGAUAGUGAACCAGUACCGUGAGGGAAAGGCGAAAAGAACCCCGGCGAGGGGAGUGAAAAAGAACCUGAAACCGUGUACGUACAAGCAGUGGGAGCCUCUUUAUGGGGUGACUGCGUACCUUUUGUAUAAUGGGUCAGCGACUUAUAUUCUGUAGCAAGGUUAACCGAAUAGGGGAGCCGAAGGGAAACCGAGUCUUAACUGGGCGUUAAGUUGCAGGGUAUAGACCCGAAACCCGGUGAUCUAGCCAUGGGCAGGUUGAAGGUUGGGUAACACUAACUGGAGGACCGAACCGACUAAUGUUGAAAAAUUAGCGGAUGACUUGUGGCUGGGGGUGAAAGGCCAAUCAAACCGGGAGAUAGCUGGUUCUCCCCGAAAGCUAUUUAGGUAGCGCCUCGUGAAUUCAUCUCCGGGGGUAGAGCACUGUUUCGGCAAGGGGGUCAUCCCGACUUACCAACCCGAUGCAAACUGCGAAUACCGGAGAAUGUUAUCACGGGAGACACACGGCGGGUGCUAACGUCCGUCGUGAAGAGGGAAACAACCCAGACCGCCAGCUAAGGUCCCAAAGUCAUGGUUAAGUGGGAAACGAUGUGGGAAGGCCCAGACAGCCAGGAUGUUGGCUUAGAAGCAGCCAUCAUUUAAAGAAAGCGUAAUAGCUCACUGGUCGAGUCGGCCUGCGCGGAAGAUGUAACGGGGCUAAACCAUGCACCGAAGCUGCGGCAGCGACACUAUGUGUUGUUGGGUAGGGGAGCGUUCUGUAAGCCUGUGAAGGUGUACUGUGAGGUAUGCUGGAGGUAUCAGAAGUGCGAAUGCUGACAUAAGUAACGAUAAAGCGGGUGAAAAGCCCGCUCGCCGGAAGACCAAGGGUUCCUGUCCAACGUUAAUCGGGGCAGGGUGAGUCGACCCCUAAGGCGAGGCCGAAAGGCGUAGUCGAUGGGAAACAGGUUAAUAUUCCUGUACUUGGUGUUACUGCGAAGGGGGGACGGAGAAGGCUAUGUUGGCCGGGCGACGGUUGUCCCGGUUUAAGCGUGUAGGCUGAUUUUCCAGGCAAAUCCGGAAAAUCAAGGCUGAGGCGUGAUGACGAGGCACUACGGUGCUGAAGCAACAAAUGCCCUGCUUCCAGGAAAAGCCUCUAAGCAUCAGGUAACAUCAAAUCGUACCCCAAACCGACACAGGUGGUCAGGUAGAGAAUACCAAGGCGCUUGAGAGAACUCGGGUGAAGGAACUAGGCAAAAUGGUGCCGUAACUUCGGGAGAAGGCACGCUGAUACGUAGGUGAAGUCCCUCGCGGAUGGAGCUGAAAUCAGUCGAAGAUACCAGCUGGCUGCAACUGUUUAUUAAAAACACAGCACUGUGCAAACACGAAAGUGGACGUAUACGGUGUGACGCCUGCCCGGUGCCGGAAGGUUAAUUGAUGGGGUUAGCGGUAACGCGAAGCUCUUGAUCGAAGCCCCGGUAAACGGCGGCCGUAACUAUAACGGUCCUAAGGUAGCGAAAUUCCUUGUCGGGUAAGUUCCGACCUGCACGAAUGGCGUAAUGAUGGCCAGGCUGUCUCCACCCGAGACUCAGUGAAAUUGAACUCGCUGUGAAGAUGCAGUGUACCCGCGGCAAGACGGAAAGACCCCGUGAACCUUUACUAUAGCUUGACACUGAACAUUGAGCCUUGAUGUGUAGGAUAGGUGGGAGGCUUUGAAGUGUGGACGCCAGUCUGCAUGGAGCCGACCUUGAAAUACCACCCUUUAAUGUUUGAUGUUCUAACGUUGGCCCCUGAUCGGGGUUGCGGACAGUGUCUGGUGGGUAGUUUGACUGGGGCGGUCUCCUCCUAAAGAGUAACGGAGGAGCACGAAGGUUGGCUAAUCCUGGUCGGACAUCAGGAGGUUAGUGCAAUGGCAUAAGCCAGCUUGACUGCGAGCGUGACGGCGCGAGCAGGUGCGAAAGCAGGUCAUAGUGAUCCGGUGGUUCUGAAUGGAAGGGCCAUCGCUCAACGGAUAAAAGGUACUCCGGGGAUAACAGGCUGAUACCGCCCAAGAGUUCAUAUCGACGGCGGUGUUUGGCACCUCGAUGUCGGCUCAUCACAUCCUGGGGCUGAAGUAGGUCCCAAGGGUAUGGCUGUUCGCCAUUUAAAGUGGUACGCGAGCUGGGUUUAGAACGUCGUGAGACAGUUCGGUCCCUAUCUGCCGUGGGCGCUGGAGAACUGAGGGGGGCUGCUCCUAGUACGAGAGGACCGGAGUGGACGCAUCACUGGUGUUCGGGUUGUCAUGCCAAUGGCACUGCCCGGUAGCUAAAUGCGGAAGAGAUAAGUGCUGAAAGCAUCUAAGCACGAAACUUGCCCCGAGAUGAGUUCUCCCUGACUCCUUGAGAGUCCUGAAGGAACGUUGAAGACGACGACGUUGAUAGGCCGGGUGUGUAAGCGCAGCGAUGCGUUGAGCUAACCGGUACUAAUGAACCGUGAGGCUUAACCUU